AGAGUUUGAUCCUGGCUUAGAACGAACGCUGGCGGCAUGGAUUAGGCAUGCAAGUCGAACGCUCACCGCAAGGUGGGAGUGGCGGAAGGGUGAGGAACACGUGAGUAAUCUACCUCCAAGUUGGGAAUAACAGUUGGAAACGACUGCUAAUACCGAAUGUGGCUGUUGGACCGCAUGGUUUGACGGCUAAAGAUUUAUCGCUUGGAGAUGAGCUCGCGUCCCAUUAGCUAGUUGGUGAGGUAACGGCUCACCAAGGCGACGAUGGGUAGCUGGUCUGAGAGGAUGGUCAGCCACACUGGGACUGAGACACUGCCCAGACUCCUACGGGAGGCUGCAGUCGAGAAUCUUGGGCAAUGCGCGAAAGCGUGACCCAAGCAAUGCCGCGUGCGGGAUGAAGGUCUUCGGAUUGUAAACCGCUGUCACUCGGGACGAACAAAAUGACGGUACCGAGGGAGGAAGCCACGGCUAACUACGUGCCAGCCGCAGC
rnacentral:rRNA from 1 species